GUUAUCCCUGGCUUAGGG
rnacentral:snRNA from 1 species